rnacentral:rRNA from 1 species
UACGUAGGUGGCAAGCGUUGUCCGGAUUUACUGGGCGUAAAGAGCGCGCAGGCGGUCGGAUAAGUCGAAUGUGAAAGCCCCGGGCUCAACCUGGGAAUUGCAUUCGAGACUGCAUUGCUGGAGUACGGAAGAGGAGGGCGGAAUUCCCGGUGUAGCGGUGAAAUGCGUAGAUAUCGGGAGGAACAUCAGUGGCGAAGGCGGCCCUCUGGUCCAGUACUGACACUCAAGUGCGAAAGCGUGGGGAGCAAACAGG